AAUCGAACAAAGAGUAAAACCUAAUUAUCUUGUUCUAUUAUGCCCCGAGAGUGUAAAUUUCAAAUGAAUCGAUGUCAAUGUUCACAAGAACCAAAACCAGAACAACAUUAGACUACUCAGUUGCGCCCUAACAGUAUAACAUUGCAACAAAUACUUUUUCUCAUUCAAUCGAACAAAGAGUAAAAUCUAAUUAUAUUGUUCUAUUAUGCCCCGAGAGUGCAAAUUUCGAUCGAAUCAAUGUCAACGUUCACAAGAACCAAAACUGGAACAACAUUAAACUGCACAGUUGCGCCCUAACAGUAUAACUUUGCAACGAGUACUUUUUCUCAUUCAAACAAACAAAGAGUAAAAACCUAAUUAUAUUGUUCUAUUAUGCGCCGAGAGUGUAAUAGUAGAACGAAACGAUAUCAAAGUUCACAAGAACCAAAACCGGAACAACAUUAGACUACUCGGUUGCGCCCUAACAUGAUAACUUUGCAACGAGUGCUUUUUCUUAUUCAAUAAAACAAAGUGUUAAACCUAAUUAUAUUGUUCUAUUUCGCCCCGAGAGUGUAAAUUUCGAACGAAUCGAUGUCAACGUUCACAAGAACGAAAACCGGAACAUUAUUAGACAACUCAGUUGCGCCCUAACAGUAUAACUUUGCAACGAGUACUUUUUCUCAUUCAAACAAACAAAGAGUAAAAACCUAAUUAUAUUGUUCUACUAUGCCCCGAGAGUGUAAUAGUGGNNNNNNNNNNNNNNNNNNNNNNNNNACUUUGCAACGAGUAUUUUUUCUCAUUCAAACAAACAAAGAGUAAAAACCUAAUUAUAUUGUUCUAUUAUGCCCCGAGAGUGUAUUAGUGGAACGAAACGAUAUCAAAGUUCACAAGAACCAAAACCGGAACAACAUUAGACUACUCGGUUGCGCCCUAACAUUAUAACUUUGCAACGAGUGCUUUUUCUUAUUCAAUAAAACAAAGUGUAAAACCUAAUUAUAUUGUUCUAUUUUGCCCGGAGAGUGUAAAUUUCGAACGAAUCGAUCUCAACGUUCACAAGAAUGAAAAUCGGAACAACAUUAGAUUACUCAGUUGCUGUCACGCCCCGACCGCACGGCCCGAAAACGGUACCUAGUGGGUCCGGUUUGAGGGCGGCGGCGCGACCGACGAACGAACAGAGUUUCCUCUGUCCGCCCAAGGCUAAGCAACAGAUUGUGUACAACAAGUCCCCAGGAAAAACAACUUGCAUUCAUACACAAUCAACAACGAAACGAAAGCACAACAGUGCUACAACCAACUAGAGCAAGCGAUACAAGUAAAACCAUACAAGUAUACAAAAGAGAGAAACUUAGCUAAUUGAGACAUAAUUGAAAUAUUAAACAUCUUUCGAUAUCAUUUGAACUUUAAUCAUUUAAUACAACUUGCAUUCUAUUUCAAAAUGUAAAAUACAUCAUAUGCUCUCCAAAACCUCAUCCUAUACAUCAACUACUCUCAACAUAUAAAAGCAUAGGCACAGCGUAGAGCUAAUGCAAGUAGGUAAAGUAAGCUAUCUAGCAAAAGCUAGGGCGCUUUGCCCUUACCGCGAUCCAUCGAUAAAGGCCCGCUGUCCUGUGUACCUGUACCCCCAAAACCACAUGGGGGUGAGAACUACGAAUAGUUCCCAGUGGGUUCGGCCGCCGACUCCGCCGGUCUACCCACUAGGUCUUAAGCAGGCAUAGAUAUAUAUAUAUAUAUAUAAAACUAUAUAUAUAUAUGCAAUAUAUAUAAAACUAAGCUGAACGGAAAACAGUUAUGUAAACAACUAUAUCAAGCUAUGUCUCAAUCUGGAAUCAUGAAUGCAUGAGCAAUAAAUAAGCUGGGUAGGUUAGCAACUAUAAACAUCUAUCACAGCUAUCAUAGUAAGCUAUAAAAAUAUGCUACUGGAAAAGCAAAUAAGCUGAUAUGAACAAUGAGUAGUUACUAUGAACAUCAAUCGUGGGUAAGAAUCAAUGGGUAACCCAAUCUCCAANGCUUGCUUGUGAACCUUGCGUUCACUUGGAGAUUGGGUUACCCAUUGAUUCUUACCCACGAUUGAUGUUCAUAGUAGCUACUCAUUGUUCAUAUCAGCUUAUUUGCUUUCCCAGUAGCAUGUUUUUAUAGCUUACUAUGAUAGCUGUGAUAGAUGUUUAUAGUUGCUUACCUACCCAGCUUAUUUAUUGUUCAUAUAUUCAUGAUUCCAGAUUGAGGCAUAGCUUGAUAUAGUUGUUUACAUACCUGCUUUUAGUUCAGCUUAGUUUUAUAUAUAUUGCAAAUAUAUAUAUAUAUAUAUAUAUAUAUAUCUCUCUCUAUGCCUGCUUAAGACCUAGUGGGUUGAUCGGCGGAAUCGGCGGCCGAACCCACUGGGAACUAUUCGUAGUUCUCACACCCUCGUUACACGUACUAGCUCGAGCGUUCCGACCGUGCGGGAGGAUCGUGGCAAGGGCUUAGUGUAAGAUAUCGAAAUUCGACGAUAUUGGCUAACUUUGGCCAAAAGGACCAAAGCGGGCGAUUAAACGAUUUGGACAAGUUCCAUUUGGUAUUUCAACAUGUUUGGAAGAGUAAAAAUGAGUUCCAAAAGUGUUGGAAUAGUUUUAGCGUUGUUGGACGCGAAAAGAAAUCGAAACAGAUCGAAAAACAGCUUUCUGGAGCUGGUGUACCGGUACACGCAUGAUGGCUGUACCGGUACAGCCAUCGCUGCCAGACUGCGCAGCCCUCGGGUUUGCUCUCGGGUUUGGCCGUUACGCAGGGCGCGUACCGGUACGCAAACCCGUGUACCGGUACACGAGCGCGCAGCAGCGGGUUAAGUUGCAAAAUCUGAUAAAAGGAGGGCUUUUUAGCAUUUUGUUACAAUAGGUAACUUAACCCCCUCACUCUCAGCUCUCUCCUCUCUCACUCCCACAGCCCCUCUCUCUCUCUAGCUCUCUCUCUCUCUCUAACCGGUUGGGAGAAAANNNNNNNNNNNNNNNNNNNNNNNNNNNNNNNNNNNNNNNNNNNNNNNNNNNNNNNNNNNNNNNNNNNNNNNNNNNNNNNNNNNNNNNNNNNNNNNNNNNNNNNNNNNNNNNNNNNNNNNNNNNNNNNNNNNUGCUUUGAGAGUAGAUGAUGUAUAGGGUGAGGUUUUGGAGAGCAUAUGAUGUAUUUUUAUUUUGGAAAAAGAAUGCAGGUUGUAUUAAAGAUUUAAAGUUUAAAUGAUAUCGAAAGAGGUUUAAUGUUUCAAAUAUGUUUAAAUAGUUAAGUUUCUCUCUUUUGUAUACUUGUAUGAUUUUACUUGUAUCGCUUGCUCUAGUUGGUUAUAGCACUGUUUGUGCUUUCACUUCGUUGUUGAUUGUGUAUGAAUGCAAGUUGUUUUCCUGGGGACUUGUUGUACACAAUCCGUUGCUUAGCCUUGGGCGGACAGGGGAGACUCUGUCCGUUCGGCGGUCGCGCACGCCGCCCUCGAAUCGGACCAAAUUGGUACCGUUUUCGGGUGGUGCGGUCUGGGGCGUGACACUUAGCGCCCUAGCAGUUGGUUGAUAGCUUUACCUUUCCUACUUGCAUUAGCUCUACCCUGUACUUUUGUUACAUUAUGAGAGUAGAUAUUGUAUAGGGGGGGUUUUGGAGAGCAUAUGAAGUAUUUUACAGUUUGAAAUAGAAUGCAAGUUGUAUUAAAUGAUUAAAGUUUAAAUGAUAUCGAAAGAGGUUUGAUAUUUCAAUUAUGUCUCAAUUAGCUAAGUUUCUUUCUUUUGUAUACUUGUAUGGCUUUACUUGUAUCGCGUGCUCUAGUUGGUUGUAGCACUGUUGUGCUUUCGUUUCGUUGUCGAUUGUGUAUGAAUGCAAGUUAUUUUUUCUGGGGACUUGUGUACACAAUCUGUUGCUUAGCCUUGGGCGGACACGGGAAACUCUGUUCGUUCGGCGGUCGCGCCGCCGCCCUCGAACCGGACCAAAUAGGUACCGUUUACGGGCCGUGCGGUCGGGGCGUGACAAAAAACCUAAUUAUAUUGUUCUACUAUGCCCCGAGAGUGUAAUAGUGGAACGAAACGAUGUCAGCAUUCACAAGAACCAAAACCGGAACAAUAUUAGACUAUUAAGUAGCGCCCUAACAGUAUAACUUUGCAACGAGUACUUUUUCUCAUUCAAUCGAACAAAGAGUAAAACCUAAUUAUCUUGUUCUAUUAUGCCCCGAGAGUGUAAAUUUCGAACGAAUCGAUGUCAACGUUCACAAGAAC
rnacentral:lncRNA from 1 species